rnacentral:snRNA from 1 species
GGAUGUAAGGGCCACAUGACCAAGAUAUCUGUCACCCCACUGUUUGCCAGGGUGGCUUCAGCUGAUCUGGCUGGCUCGGCAGGUAUCUUCUCUCUCUCUCUCACCACUCCACGUGUGUCCCUAUGGAAGAUGAGUGGUUGGUCGAAGAGGAACAGACUGAGUCUUUAGCCAAAGGUGUCUGAGUAGCUGUGCUCCCCUGCUAGAACCUCCAAACAAGCUCUCAAGGUCCAUUCAGAUGGAGAAGAGAUAGAGCUAUAGCACAAAACAACCAGAGCUUGGUCCAGUCCUGCACUGCUCACA